rnacentral:sRNA from 1 species
UCAACCAUAAAGCCGAAUCGUCAAUGAGACUUGAUGUACGGGGGAUCUUUCGUCCAAUCGGACUUGGGGAGAGGCGAAAUGUGCCGGGUUAACUCGAACCCGAUCCCGACAGCUAACCUCGGAGGCAAUACGAGAGGAUGA